CAGAGGAGAGGAAGGAGGAGUCUGGAGAGGGGAGAGAAAGACGUAGAAAAACAGACAAGGAGAGAGGGCAGGAGUGGGGGACACAGGUACUGGGAGAGAGUAGAGACACAGAGACAAGAGAGAAAAGGCAACAAAGACAAAGCCAGAGACGCCCAGCCCGAGAGACAGAGCCACACGGAGAGAAUGGAGAGGGGAGCAGGGUCAGAGGGCCCGGACGACGCAGAGAAGGACGCGAAAGGACGUGAGAGGGACUUCCCCCAGGGGCAGGGAGAGGCCUUGGGCAGCUCCUCCGCUGGGCCGGGCUGCCUGCCUGCUGGACUCCGGGAAGGAGGCAGUGACCGCACCCAUCUGGAAGCUGUCAGGUCCCUCAAGGAUGAGGGCGUUGGGAGGAAGCCAGACAUGAGCCACGUCUAGAGAGAGGAAGCGGCGGGAUUUGAAAAAGAUGGCCCUCCUUCUGGGAGAGCACCCACUGCUCAUCUGAAUUCUAGAGAACCACUCAAGUGCAUAUAGACGGCAUCCAUCCUAAGAAGGAAAGUGCUCUCUAAGAAGCCACUAUGCCUGAAAUGCCACCAUAUGUAUACACCAUUCCACUAUGGAAAACAUUGCCUUUUCGGGGCUCUUCCUGUGAAAUGCAGGCCAUGAGCUCUUGCUGGACAUACCAGAACAAAGACAUAGUCUCUUCAAGAUGGCAUUCACAGCCAUAGGGCAGGACGACAGGUGGGCGACAACCAUAGCCAGCAGAAGAGCAGACACUGGAACAGAGGUUCAAACCAACAACUAUGGAGCGAGCUGAGCCUUUUAUUGAAGCGUAAUACAUAUACAGAAAAAUUCACCUAUCAUAAGUAUGCAUCUUGGUAAAUUUUCACAAGGAAUAUACCCAUGGAACCAACAUCCAGAUCAAAAUCUGUCAGGCGUCUAGCACCCAGAAGCCCCUGCGGGUCCCUGCCAGUUACUAUGUGCCCCCAAGGCUGACCACUGUCCUGUCUUCUGGUACCACAGGUUUGUUUUGCCUGUUUUUUGAACUUUAUAAAUGCAAGUGUACAGUA